rnacentral:rRNA from 1 species
UACGUAGGGGGCGAGCGUUGUCCGGAUUUAUUGGGCGUAAAGAGCUCGUAGGCGGCUUGGCAAGUCGGGUGUGAAACCUCCAGGCUCAACCUGGAGACGCCACUCGAUACUGCUAUGGCUAGAGUCCGGUAGGGGACCACGGAAUUCCUGGUGUAGCGGUGAAAUGCGCAGAUAUCAGGAGGAAUACCGGUGGCGAAGGCGGCAUCCUGGACCGAGAUUGACACUGAUGAGCGAAAGCUAGGGGAGCAAACGGG